rnacentral:sRNA from 1 species
ACAAUAUUCGAGCUUUGUUUACAAAACAAAGAAUUAUAAACUCCGUAUCUUGCUCAGUACUUGAUAUUUGAGUUUCAAAUUUUGACAUAGUAUUAUAAAUUUCUAUAUUUAUCAGUAAAAACAUAAAAAAUGGAAAAACAAAAUUUGAAAAUUUUAAGUCAAAUCGGUUAAAGUCCCUUUAAUGUACUGUUUUUGUGUUUCAUAUGUAAAUAGAAUAAUUUUGUGUUUUUGUAUUUGUAGCAUUACAUGUAAACAUAAGUUUUUAUUAUUGUAAUCUAAUCCGUGUCAGUACAGCAUAGACGGACGUGACAUAUAUUAUCGUAUUUAUAAUAAAUCACAAAUAUGUAUUCCAAACAAACAAUUUGAUAAAAUUAUGAUAGUAAAAAACAUUGGUUAU